AAAUAUUGGUUAAAUUAAAGAUGACAUGGCACGGAAACUAGCGUCAAAAAGGCCAAACAACAGAAUUA